GUCUACGGCCAUACCACCCUGAACACGCCCGAUCUCGUCUGAUCUCGGAAACUAAGCAGGGUCGGGCCUGGUUAGUACUUGGACGGGAGAAUAAUGAGGCAGCUGUUUCUC
ensembl:rRNA 5S_rRNA 5S ribosomal RNA